rnacentral:rRNA from 1 species
AACGAACGCUGGCGGCAUGCCUAACACAUGCAAGUCGAACGAGACCUCCGGGACUACUGGCGCAUGGGUGUGUCACGCGUCGGACCCUGCACUUAUGUAUGGAAUACCUCUCCGACAGGGGUGAUAACAUCGGAUAUUGUCUUCGGACCCAAGAUUUAUCGACUUUGGUAGGGCCAGCGUUGGUUUAGCUCGUUGGUAGGGUAAUAGACUACCAAGGCGACGAUCAUUAGCUGGUCAAAGAGACUGGUCAGCAACACUUGGACGAAGACCCGGCCCAGACUCCUACGCAAGGCAGCAAUGGGGAAUAUAGCACAAUGGGCUAAAGCCUGAUGGAGCUAUGCCGCUAAAGUGAUGAAGGCCGGAGAGUUGUAAAGCUCUUUUACCCGGGAUGAUAAUGACGGUACCGAAAGAAUAAGCACCGGCUAACUCCGUG